CCUUGAUCCAGUCUGCCAGGCAUGGGGCACUCCAAGAUCGCAGCGACUUCCCUGUGCUUCCUCCUCCUCCUGACCUUGUGUUUUGGUGACCCCAUUUUACCAGAAAGGAGGAAAAGCCAUGUGAAGAACAUAGCAAGAUCUUCAAAGGAGUUGAAUGCGAAUAUGCCCCGUGCAAAGCGGCCUGCAUCACCGAGGACUACAAGGGCGGGUACUGCAAGCCUGUAGUGGACGUUGGGUGCACGUGUACCAACUACUGUCACGACGGCCCGUCCGAGAUGAUCUGACUCAACUGAAGCCAGGGGUGACUAUCUAUCGUAGCGCUCUGACAUAUAUGUGUUUUAUCUGAGGUUUUCCCUUUUUUUGAGAAACAUCUGAGGUUCUUCCGUAGAUGUUGUUGUUUAAUAUCAAUACAUACAUAUGAUCGGUACGGCAAUGAAA